GUCCACGCCGUAAACGAUGGAUGCUAGAUGUCGGGAUGUAUGUCUCGGUGUCGUAGUUAACGCGUUAAGCAUCCCGCCUGGGGAGUACGGUCGCAAGGCUGAAACUCAAAGAAAUUGACGGGGGCCCGCACAAGCGGUGGAGUAUGUGGUUUAAUUCGAUGCAACGCGAAGAACCUUACCUGGGUUUGACAUCUGGGGAACCUCCCGAAAAGGAGGGGUGUCCUUCGGGAGCCCAAGACAGGUGCUGCAUGGCUGUCGU
rnacentral:rRNA from 1 species